rnacentral:rRNA from 1 species
AGUGAACGCUGGCGGUAGGCCUAAUACAUGCCAGUCGAACGGCAGCACAGUAAGAGCUCUCCCCUACGGGUGGCGGGUGGCGGGUGGGUGAGGAAUGCAUCACAAACCUCUUUUUCGUGGGGGAUACCGGAAGGCAACUUCCGCUACUACCGCAUACGUUCUACGGGUUAAAGCAGAAGAUAUUCGGGCCUUGCCCGUUUGAAUGAGCCGAUGUCGGAUUAGCUAGUUGGCUAGGUAAAGGCCCACCAAGGCAACGAUCCGUAGCUGGCCUGAGAGGAUGAUCAGCCACACUGGAACUGAGACACGGUCCAGACUCCUACGGGAGGCAGCAGUGGGGAAUAUUCGACAAUGGGCGCAAGCCUGACCCAGCAAUGCCGCGUGAGUGAAGAAGGUCUUCGGAUCGUAAAGCCCUGUUAUUAGGAAAGAAAAGAAGUAUGAGAAUAUCUCGCCGUUCUGACGGUACCUAAAGAGUAAGCACCGGCUAACUUCGUG